UGAAGCCUGUGGAAAGAGCUGCCAGAAGGAUGACAGGAGCUGUGACCUUUCAGCCCAGAGUGCAGCGAGCCAGAGUCCCCGAGAUGGGAAGAUCUGCGUGAGGCCCGGGUUGGACACGGCAGGGAGGUCGGAGAUGUCCAGCCUGCGGAGGUUCCUGAGAGGAGGCAGCAAGGGGUGAGGCCUCUGUGAGGAGGGUGGGCCUCUGCAGGGGGAAGGGCAUGGAGGGGGGUGCACCAGCCCUGGCUUCAGCCCUGGAGCCUGAGCUCUUUAAAAUCAGAGUCCUUAGCUACCCAGAUGUUAGAGAGAGCUGGCCAAGUACAGACCUCCCCCAUGGGAAUUAGACCACACUCUGGUUCCCCCUGUUCGCAACAGUGUCAGCGUCAUUGAGUUUUCAUUAAAAAGAAAAACCAGGAGUGCUUCCCCCCACCA